rnacentral:tRNA from 1 species
CGAAAUGCAAACUCGGAGAAGCACCCCCAAAGAGGUGCCGGGGCUUCUCCCGUUU